rnacentral:rRNA from 1 species
CCUACGGGAGGCAGCAGUGGGGAAUAUUGGACAAUGGGCGGAAGCCUGAUCCAGCAACGCCGCGUGAGGGAUGACGGCCUUCGGGUUGUAAACCUCUUUCGGUAGGGACGAAGCGCAAGUGACGGUACCUACUAAAGAAGCACCGGCCAACUACGUGCCAGCAGCCGCGGUAAUACGUAGGGUGCGAGCGUUGUCCGGAAUUAUUGGGCGUAAAGGGCUCGUAGGCGGUUUGUCGCGUCGGGAGUGAAAACCAGGUGCUUAACACCUGGCUUGCUUUCGAUACGGGCAGACUAGAGGUAUGCAGGGGAGAACGGAAUUCCUGGUGUAGCGGUGAAAUGCGCAGAUAUCAGGAGGAACACCGGUGGCGAAGGCGGUUCUCUGGGCAUGACCUGACGCUGAGGAGCGAAAGUGUGGGGAGCGAACAGGAUUAGAUACCCUGGUAGUCCACACCGUAAACGUUGGGCGCUAGGUGUGGGGUCCAUUCCACGGAUUCCGUGCCGCAGCUAACGCAUUAAGCGCCCCGCCUGGGGAGUACGGCCGCAAGGCUAAAACUUAAAGGAAUUGACGG